AAACUUUUAGUAUAAUUUAGUAUUUUUAAUUGCAAAUUAAAAGGUGUUGAAAGUUUU
rnacentral:tRNA from 1 species